GACGAACGCUGGCGGCGUGCCUAAUACAUGCAAGUCGAACGAGAGCAACCGGUUCUUGCACUGGUCAAUCUAGUGGCGAACGGGUGAGUAACACGUGGGUAACCUGCCCAUCAGAGGGGGAUAACAUCCGGAAACGGAUGCUAAAACCGCAUAGGUCUUCGAACCGCAUGGUUUGAAGAGGAAAAGAGGCGCAAGCUUCUGCUGAUGGAUGGACCCGCGGUGCAUUAGCUAGUUGGUGAGGUAACGGCUCACCAAGGCCGUGAUGCAUAGCCGACCUGAGAGGGUGAUCGGCCACAUUGGGACUGAGACACGGCCCAAACUCCUACGGGAGGCAGCAGUAGGGAAUCUUCCGCAAUGGACGAAAGUCUGACGGAGCAACGCCGCGUGAGUGAAGAAGGUUUUCGGAUCGUAAAACUCUGUUGUUAGAGAAGAACAAGUGCUAGAGUAACUGUUAGCGCCUUGACGGUAUCUAAACAGAAAGCCACGGCUAACUACGUA
rnacentral:rRNA from 1 species